CGGGGAACGUAAAAUAUACAGCUUUAUUUAUUGAAAACCUUUAAUAAAGAGCAGUAUGUGACUACGGAUUACUUUAUUCCCCACAUGGAUGGUUUUGAACUGGUUCCUUGCAAUGAAAUGAACUGUUCAAAAGAACCGACUCGCGAAAAGGAUUCAAACUUUCCUUCACUAGAACGUGCAGCUGUGAUAGCGGUCGGAAGAAACAGCACCUACUGUGAACUGUUCCUAGAGUGAGUUAACUAAUACAGUUCUGAAAGUAUUUAUCUAAUAAAUCAAAGAGCAGCUGCCAAAGUAUCUCAUGGGAGAAGUUCAACUCUGUACCACAAACUGCGCCUUGAAGGAACUUGAAACUUGCAAAAGACCUCUAUGGAGCAAAACUCAUCUUACAGAGAUUUCAGAUCAGGAAAUGCAAACACAUGAAAGAUCAAUUACCUGCAUCAGCGUGUUAUGUGCGUUCUCUCUCUCUCUCUCUCUCUCUCUCUCUCUCUCUCUCUCUCUAAAUGUUAAUAAUUUUAUAUUUAAGUUAAAUACUGUUGGAAAUGUUCACAUAUGAUUACUAAUAGAUUAUUAAUAUAAAUUUAUUGUUACAAAGUAAUAAUGAUUUAAUGAUAUUAUUUUAUAAUAAUGAAAUAAAAUUUAAAAGUCAGAAUUUGAGAAAUCGGUU
ensembl:lncRNA